CGUCGGUGUAGCGGAUGUUUGCGCGCCGUCCUGGCAAGGUCGCUCCUAUCGUGACGUGCAAUACCUCAGCCGCUGGC
rnacentral:tRNA from 1 species